rfam:Deltaproteobacteria bacterium RBG_13_53_10 RBG_13_scaffold_9614, whole genome shotgun sequence.
UUCGGUGGCGAUGGCGAAGAGGAAACACCCGUUCCCAUUCCGAACACGGAAGUUAAGCUCUUCAGCGCCGAUGGUACUGCGUGGGGAACUACGUGGGAGAGUAGGACGCCGCCGAGA